rnacentral:RNase_P_RNA from 1 species
CGUAAGUGGGAUCAGGUAAGGGUGAAAGGGUGCGGUAAGAGCGCACCGCGCGGCUGGUAACAGUCCGUGGCACGGUAAACUCCACCCGGAGCAAGGCCAAAUAGGGGUUCAUAAGGUACGGCCCGUACUGAACCCGGGUAGGCUGCUUGAGCCAGUGAGCGAUUGCUGGCCUAGAUGAAUGACUGUCCACGACAGAACCCGGCUUAUCGGUCAGUUUCACUU